CUUUUUAUCGGUCCUUUGUGAAGGAGCUAAGCCGAAAGUCAAAGCUCUCAAUUUACCGGUCGAUCUAAGUUCCUACACUCACCUAUAGUCAUGAGCUGUGGGUUGUGACCGUAAGAAUAAGAUCCCGGAUACGCGGCUGAAAUGAGUUUCCUCCGCAGGGUCUUUGGGCUCUCCCUUAGAGAUAGGGUGAGAAGCUCGGUCAUCCGGGAGGAUCUCAGAGUAGAACCGCUGCUCCUCCACAUCGAGAGGAGCCAGAUGAGGUGGCUGGGGCAUCUGAUUCGGAUGCCUCCCGGACGGCUCCCUGGUGAGGUGUUCCGGGCAAAUCCCAUCGGGAGAAGAACCCGGGGACGACCCAGGACACGCAGGACAGACUACGUCUUUCAGCUGGCCUGGGAACGUCUUGGGAUCCCCCCGGAAGAGCUGGAUGAAGUGGCUGGGGAGAGGGAAGUCUGGGCGUCCCUGCUAAAGGUCCUGCCCCCUUGACCCGACCUCGGAUAAGCGGUAGAAAAUGGAUGGAGGUGCCGGCUGUAAAGAUGAAUGCGGAAGAGGUACUGUAAAAUUGCGUUAGAGGGAAACUACAUACUGUCGCCAUACACAAUAUUAUGUACACUUGUAUCUAUCUAUCUAUCUAUCGAUCUAUCGAUCUAUCUAUCUAUCUAUCUAUCUAUCUAUCUAUCUAUCUAUCUAUCUAUCUAUCUAUCUAUCUAUCUAUCUGUCUAUCUGUCUAUCUGUCUAUCUAUCUAUCUAUCUAUCUAUCUAUCUAUCUAUCUAUCUAUCUAUCUAUCUAUCUAUCCAUCCAUCCAUCCAUCCAUCCGGAUCUAGCCGGAUCUAGCCAUUUAUAAAACCUCACAAUGCUUCACUGUAUGUCGGUGUGCUGUUCUUUAAGUGAUGAGCAGUCUUUUGGAAUUACAGCCAACUGUUGGCUGGUCGCCAGUUCAUUGUACCUUGUUGUCACAUUCCAGCAUUCCUUGUUUCCACGUCACCGACUCAUAGUAAGACUAGACCCUGUUCUGAUUUUUGACCUUGCCUCUUUGCCUCACGUUUUUUGGAUACUGUUGCCUUUUCGGAUUGCCUGCCUGUGUACCGACCUCUGCUGGUUUAUAUAACCUCUCUUUUUUUAAACUGUUCAUCUGUUUUGGAGUUGUGCAUUUUGGGUCCUGUCCUCUGUUCCGUUCAUGACAGAACGAACUGGCCAUAACAUGGACCCAGCAGAUUCAGACCCGGUGCGCAAAGCCCUUCAAGCUCAAGGUCGACGCAUCUCGAAGCAGGAUGAGCAGCUUGCUGCCCUCCACCUUCUUCUCUCGGAGCGCCAGAACACUAUGUUGAGACAGGUGGCCUCACAGUUUGAAGUUCUAAUGAAUAUGGUUCAGAAGAAGGAACCAACUGGUACAGCACCCGAUGCCGUCACUGUUCCACCGUUUCCAUGUGAAGCAGUCACCAUGCAGCCACCUCCCAACUCUGCUGCUGUCUGCCCACAGCUCUCUCGACCGGAGAGGUUCUCUGGGGAUUCUGGGAAUAUUAAGCCGUUCAUUACUCAGUGCGGACUCCACUUUGAGCUGCAGGCAGCUGCCUUCCCCACCAAGCAGGCAAAGAUUGCUUUUGUCAUUUCCCACCUGACUGGUCAUGCGGAGGCGUGGGCUACUGCUGAUUGGAGCCGCGAUUCCGGCGCGUGUCAUUCUUGGACUUCUUUCGUAAAGACUAUGGAGCAAAUUUUUCAAUAUUCCACACCAGAUCAUGAGGCACCUUGCUCCCUUGUCACCUUACAACAAGGCAAGCGCAGGGUGUCAGAUUACGUGAUUGAGUUUCGCAUUCUAGCAGCUGAGAGUCAGUGGAACGACAGGGCACUACUCGAUACAUUUUUUCAAGGACUAUCCCCGCCGUCAAGGAUCAUUUGGUCCCCCUAGACCUGCCGACCGACUUGGACACUCUCAUCGCUUUCGCCGUGAAGAUUGACAAAAGGCUUUUGGAUCGAGAGCUGGACGGAGAUUGGCGGAAGGAUGCGUCACCGCGCACUUGGAGGAGGAGCCUCAAUGACCAGGCAGAUCCCCUGUUGCCGAUCUCAAUCCACUGGCUCGCGUCACCACGGAUGAACCUAUGCAACUGGCCAGGUUCCGUCUCUCCCCUGAGGAACGUCAAUGCUUGCUGAGGGAAGGGUGGUGCUUCUACUGCGGGCAGUCGGGUCAUUCCGUGAGCAACUGUCACGUCAGGGUUGCCGGUGCCAGCACCAAGGAUAGAGGAGCGACGUAUGCACCUUGGAACCCUUCAAGUAAGGCGCCACCGCAACAUUUAUGCUGCAGACGGCAGUUUUAUGGGCAAGCUCACUCACCGCACCCAAACACUCACAUUGACAUUUCCUGAUUCUCACUCGAAACGCAUUAGUUUUCAUGUUUUUGACGCCAUGAAUUAUGACCUUAUUUUAGGGAACCCAUGGUUGAAAUUACAUAACCCCCACAUUGACUGGUCCUCUGGGCAUGUUAUGUCAUGGGGCAGCAAUUGCGUCCAGAACUGUUUCAAGCCUCCAUGUAAUGUUCAGGGAUAUGUUUCUAAUGGGAUUCUAAAGACCCCAUCGGGGGAUCCUGAUUUAUCUCAAGUGCCCACCUGUUACCAUGACAUUAGAGACAUUUUUUCCAAAUCCAAAGCCAAAUCCCUUCCACCCCACAGACCUUUUGACUGUGCAGUUGACUUUCUGCCUGGGACCACACCUCCAAGGGGGAGGUUGUUCUCUCUUUCAGGGCUGGAACACAAGGCUAUGAAGGUGUAUGUGGAAGAAUCACUGGCAGCCGGGAUCAUUCGCCCAUCUUCAUCCCUACGGGAGCAGGAUUUUUCUUUGUGGACAAAAAGGACAAGACCCUGCGACCCUGUAUCGAUUACCGGGGUCUCAACGAGAUAACUGUGAAAAACAGGUAUGUGCUGCUAACAACCCCUCUCGUCAACGGCCAUCGCGGGAAUUGAGAGAAAUCACUGGCGGCAGACCACCUGCACAUCACAACGUCCUUGAUCAGACAUCUCCGUAGACUUUGUGACGGGAUUACCGGCCUCUAAAGGAAAUACCACCAUUCUCACAGUUAUUGACAGGUUCUCUAAGAUGGCACACUUCAUUGCACUUCCGAAACUCCCCUCAGCUAAAGACACUGCCGAGCUGAUGAUUAACCAGCCCCAGAAUCCACGGUUCCAGCUGCAUUGACCUUGGUGAGACGCUGGAGGAAGACCUGGGAGUGAGCCCGCCAGAUGCUGCUCCGCCAAGGACGGUCCUAUAAAACCACAGCUGACUGUAGGAGGACACCGGCCCCGAACUACAAAGUGGGCCAGCGAGUUUGGCUCUCCACAAAACAUAUUCACUCUAGGUGGAGUCCAGGAAGCUCGCUCCCAGGUUUGUUGGGCCCUUCCCCAUCACAAAGGUCAUCAACCCUGUCACCAUGAAACUUAAGCUCCAGAGGUCCAUGCGGGUCCACCCUGCAUUUCACGUCAGCCUGCUCAAGCCUGCCCCUUGAGUUUAUCGUGGACGACUCACUCAUUCGAGACUUCCACGUUG